GUGGGGAAUAUUGGACAAUGGGCGAAAGCCUGAUCCAGCCAUGCCGCGUGAGUGAUGAAGGCCUUAGGGUUGUAAAGCUCUUUCAGUAGGGAAGAUAAUGACGGUACCUACAGAAGAAGCCCCGGCUAACUUCGUGCCAGCAGCCGCGGUAAUACGAAGGGGGCUAGCGUUGUUCGGGUUUACUGGGCGUAAAGCGCACGUAGGCGGAUUGGUCAGUUAGAGGUGAAAUCCCGAAGCUCAACUUCGGAACUGCCUUUAAUACUGCCAGUCUCGAGUCCGGAAGAGGUGAGUGGAACUCCUAGUGUAGAGGUGGAAUUCGUAGAUAUUAGGAAGAACACCAGUGGCGAAGGCGGCUCACUGGUCCGGUACUGACGCUGAGGUGCGAAAGCGUGGGGAGCAAACAGGAUUAGAUACCCCAGUAGUCC
rnacentral:rRNA from 1 species